AGGAUUACUUUAUGAGACAUUAUGAAAUACUAAGGGAGUUGGUGGAGUCCUCACGAAAAAGUAGAUGACAGCGAUAACUGAAUCCCUUGCAUGCCACUAGAUGCUGGUGAGGAGCCAGGGGACCAAGAUUCAUAAAGAAGAGCCUUUCUCUGAAGAGUUCAUGAACUGUUGAGGAGUACCACCUCCAACCAGCACACAAUCUCGUAUAACGGGGUAAUUGCAAUGACAAACCCACUGUUACCUGACAAUACACUAUAGCCCGCCGGGCUCCUCCGUCCUCGGGAUUUCCUGGGCGAGAAUGCUGGAGUGGGCUGCCACGCCCUCCUCCGGGGGUCUGGAGUCCGCUGCGCUGCAGACGGAUUCUUUACCGCUGAACCGUCAGGGAACCUCAGCGACCACAGCUUUGCUCAGUAAUGUACUGUGCACAGCGUCGUGAAGAUCUGACUUGAGAACCAACGUUCAGAAACAUCUAAGUGGUUGUUAUGCUUUCCAUGUAACUCCCGGGGCUAAUAUUUCCACUCCUGUAAUGAUUAUUGCUUAUGAAGGUUGCAUGUUAAUUAUCUGACAUGAUUCACUCCUUUAAUUAAGGGCCUCAAAAAACCGCCAGGUUCCCAAUUCACUUCAGGCCAAAUUCAUCUAUUUGGGUAAAACCAGGUGAUGUGUUUCUGGGGGCUGAGGGUUUGGGAUUCUGCUGUUUCGGUUCAUUUGAGGAAAAGCUCAUUGAGAGGCUUUAUCUCUCCCUGAGACUCGUAACAAUAGCAACAACAACAAUAAUCAUAAAACCUGUGGCCGCUGACACAACACUCACAGUGUGGCAACGGUUAUGUGUGUCAUCUCUCCUAAACUUUGCCCCAACCUGAGGAAGUUACUAUGCUGAUACUUCGUUUUUAGGAGUGAGACAAUUUGUGCUCAGACGAGGUGUAAAAUUUCCCACAGUUUCUAUAGUUCAUAAAUGGUGUUGCCAGCAUUUAAACACAGGUUUUAACCUCAGAGCUUGGUAUACACUACACCGCCUGUGACCUUAUAUUGUACAACCAGUUAGGGAUUUCACUAUAAUCCAGGAGAUUUUGGUUGGGUGAUUUUGAGCAAUUUUCAAACAAUUUGCACCAUAUGUCUCCAACUUUUAUAAAGUUCAGGAACCAUUUGAAGGAAAAACAUUCUUGCAGAACCCCUGUGU
ensembl:lncRNA